ACAGAGGACCAAGAAGGCUGAGCCUGAUGAAGCAAUACUUUGCUGAUCCACUCCCAGGAAAAAAGGGUUGGAGAGACAAGCCCUAUUGGAGAGGGGAAGAAAGAAAAAAAUCACAGGGCUAACUGUAUCACCCAACAUUU